CUGUGCAUUAACAAAGACGGUCCAUCUGAUCCGAUGGAAGAAGACGACAACUCCACCGACAAGGACAUGUGAGCUGUCAUAACAACGUGGACCCGACCACGAUAAAAAGGAACUAUCUACUGUACAUAGCAAUAGUGUGCCACCUUUUAGCUAUAAAUAUGUAUCACUUGAGCAUUAGCACUCAAGACUUAUCGAAACCCCUCUCAACCCUUUUAAACUUGUAAUCCAAAGUUCAAAUGCAAUAAAGAAAACCUUUUGGUUUUAUCUCUCUCAGUCUAGCAAUAGACUUUUACUUUGCCACUAGAUCACCUAGUGAACGAUAAAAGAUACAUAUCGGCUGUAAGUAGCCUAGUAGCCGUAAAUCUCCUGAAUAGUACCUGAAUAGCCACUAAGUCCCGUUAAUGAAGAGAAUGGAAGGGCAUGGUUGGUAUUGGAGUAGGGGAAGCCUUGUGAAAGUACAAAGGUAUGUAUCUAAAGCUUAAAUUUUAAGAUGGAAACCAUCUUGCAAGAGUUUAUCCAAAUUAUAGAUCAUAUUGACUGGUCUUGUUUAGAAUCCUUAAGAAGAUGUUCUGAGUUGCUCAGAAUUAAAAUAGAACUGUUAGAUGACAGUAUCCCAACUUAUAUAGAUGAUGACUGGUGGAACCAACCCCAGUGUAUACCCUUAAGUUAUAAGCUUAGGAUGUUAAGAAGCAUUCGUAAAAAGGUGCUUAAAUGUAUAGAAGAUGUUGAAACUGAUAAUCUUCAGCAUGCACAAGAUCCUGAUGAAGAUCAGGUUACAGAUUAUGUAUCAGACACAGAUAGCUCUUAGAAAGCUAAAAAUGUUUUCCGCUUGUUGUAUAUCGGCUGGAAACCAAUAACAUCCUCCAUUAAGAGGAAACCUUUGGUAUAACAACGCCACGUACAACGUGUUUUUGAAAUUUGGUAUCAGAGCCUUGUUUAGGUUCAGAAAUGAUAUCCGUUAUAUUAUAUGUUUAGAUUCUGUAAAGAAACUAACAUUACAGAAAUGAGUACUACGGAAACUCAUCAAGAAGAUGAAGACUUUCAUCAAGAAGUCUUUGAAGCAGAAGGUGUCUUUGGACAAGACAUAACACUUAACGACAGUCUACUUGACCAGGUACGUAAGACUAAUUUAUCUCUUACUCCUGAUGAAGUAUUUAAAUCUUUAAGUACUGUAGAAAAAGUUAAGAAUAAGUUGUUCUGUAGAAAGAACCAUAUUAUCACAUGUAUUUCCACUAGAGAAUAUCCUUUAGAUAUUAAGGACACACGUGGACAUACUGAGAUUCCUUUUGUAUUAAAGGAAGAAAUAACACAGAAAUUAUCUAAGAUCCCUUCGGAUGUUAGAAAAACUAUUAGCUAUAUCCAUAUAGGCAGCAUAAAGAUUAUGCUAAAAGCUACCUUUAGGGAAGGUAUCAAUAGCCCAGUAAAAAUGGCUUUACUGGAUAGAAGGAUGUUAAAUCCUCAAGAUGCUAUCUUUGGUGCAGUCCAAGGAAAUCUAGCGUAUGGUAAACUAAUAUUUACCUGUAGUCCCAAGAUUGGUGUUCCUUUGACCACCAACAACAUAAAUUCUAUUCUGUGCUUUGCACAUGAAUUUUCUAGGACCGAUCUCAUGCGAGAAGGAGAUAUGCCCUUUAGUGUGACCUAUAAAAUAGGUUAUGCCCUUACCAAUAGUCAUCAUUCGAUGAUGUUUAAAUCUGGGGAUCCAAUCUCCAUUGAAGGAAUCUUUAAAGAAAUCGGACAGGUUUCCAAUAUUCCUUUCCAAGAGGUUCCACCUCUUCAGUCCAUAUGGGCUAUGGACUUAACUCCUAAACAAUUUCUAGGAGCCCAACCAACUCUUCGUAUUGAGCCAAGCUCAUCACGAAUACCCCUUGUUGUUGAACAACAAGAAGAAGAAGAUGAGGCUUUACCUCAAAUUACCAGUUGGACCUACAAUCCAAACUUUUCGAGAGAUCGUAGAGCCCAAUUAGUGGCCCAAAACCGUUUACACGGAAGACCUCAAUAUGACCCUGAAAGUGUCAAUAGUGUUAGCCGAAGAAUUACCAGGCUAAGUAAUGACAUUGCAUAAUGUCUUAUACUGCUAGACCUCAUGUCUAUUACAGUAAGAAAUAUGUUGGCCUUAAAAACCAACAAGUCACCACCAAUUCGCCUACAUGUAUGUAUAGUGGAGGACAGGGAAUACAAGGAUGUAUAUCCCAUCUUAAUAAUCUUAAUACCGUGUCCGGUAUUACUAUGCUUAUGGUUAAUUCCAUAUGUUCUAUGUUUGGAAUUCCUUCCAAACAAUUUUUCAGUGGGGAGGGAGAGGACUUCGAUUCAUUCACCCUUACACCAAAACCUGUGAAAUUUUCCCAGUUCACAAACCAAGGUCUCAAUAGUCUUGUCAAGACUGUUGAAAAUCAUACGAUAGAUCUCAAGCUUAGAUUAGCGGAUCUUACAACUAAGGUUGAUAACCUUGAAAAACAGUUAAGUUCCUUACAGAACUUAGAUAAGAUUGUAAAUAGCCUUUUACAUCUAGAUCCUACUAAGAUAAACCUUAUCUUAGAAACUGUCAAAAGUAUAGACCAGAAAGUCUAAGCAUGACCUCUAAUCAAGGUAAAAUAGAUCGCCUAGAGAAGGUUAUCCUAGAUCUAGCCGACAACUUUAAGUCUAUAGAAGACAGACAACAGGAUAUGAUUAGAAAUCAUAUAGAAACAUCAGCGGCUACUAUAAUAGCAGCCCUCAGAAAACAACUAGAAGAGAUAGAAAAAUCCCUUUUAGUAAUAGCAGAUGCCAUUAGAGCAUGUGAUUGUAAUAAAGAAAUUCUUUCUUUAUUCGAAAAACAUUUAGGUAAACUACCUGAAGGACUUCCUGUUUCCCCAAGAGCCCCAAAAACUAUUCCUGCUUUAGAACCAACAGGAACAGCUAGGGACACUCGUGCCCCUACAGGAUAUGUACCAACUACCAUUAGUAGUUUUACAUAUAUACCCAAAUGAAGCCUUACAAGUCCGUCAAGGAUCAGCUUCUAGAAUAUUAUAUGGCUCAAGACCAUACACCUUAUACAGAUACGGUCAUAAGAGUUUUAAGUCUUACCGACCCUGAAAUAGAAUCUACCCCUUUAGAAAAGGAGUAUGAAGACAUUAACAUUGUGGUAGCAAUACCAAGAGAAGAAAAUCUCAGAGUAGAUAUCUCUGAAGAAAUGGAAGCUGAGUCAUCAGCCCAAGGAGCCACUAGGAACCCACCAAGUGGAACAACCUAUGAUAGACCUAGACAGUCUAGAGCCCCAAGGUAUAGCAAUACCACAUAUCAAAGUGGACCAGUUGGAGGUUCAUAUCAAUCCGGAAAAACUUCUGGAUAUAAAAAGUUCAGAGUGCCUGAAGAAUAUAGACCUGAUAAGUCUUUUGACUUCUUUGAAGUUUUAAAUGUCAACUGUAUGUCUAACGAAGAAAGAAAACUUCGUAUAGAAGGAUGGCAUAAUAAUAUGGUUUUAAUAAUCCAAACAGAUGAUCAUGUCAGAGAUGAUUUUAGCUUAGCCCACAUCCUUAUGCUUAAGAAGAGUGUAGGCCUAGCCCAUAAACUCAUAGAAGGCUUGAACAAAGAUGAGUUCAUGAUAGGAACUUGUGAAGAUUUCUUGCAAAAUGUUGUGAAUCUGUUAUACUCAGUAUUCAUAGGAAUUAACUAUCUCACAGAUAGUGCAAACCAGAUCAGGAUAGAGCAAGAAAACUCUAGAUUAAGAUUAUCACGAUUACAGAUUUGUGAUUUAUGUGAAUUAGAUGCUUUCACAUGUGAUUAUGAAGAGCAUUUAUUCAACCUUCCUAACCAGGAAUGGAUCAAGUAUAUUGAGGACUAUAUUAGGAAAAUCCCUCAUAUAGGACCCUUGGUUAUCAAAGAAUAUCAGGAGUUACCCCCGAUAAACAAAUUAAGUUUAGCAGUAGCUAAAAACCUAGUCAAAGCUAAGUUAGAGAAAAUAUGCACCGAUAGGAUGCUAGCUAAGAAAACUAAGAAGGUGAACCUUUGUUGUUCAGAAUUUUUAGGACCAGAAACUAUGUAUGGUUGUGAAACUAUACCCAAGCUUCGAAAAUGGAAGAAGAAGCUUAAGAAAAAAUAUAGGUUUUCUAAGCCUAAGAGAAAACAUUAUUAUAAGACUUCUAAGAAGUUUAGGAAGUACUAUAAUAAACCAAAAUAUAGGAAACGUUUCUUCAAGAAACACAAACCUAGGAAUACUAGAGCCUUAAACUAUGAACCACAAGCAGUUCAGCCCAAGGAUAAGGCAAAGUAUUGCCCUCAAAAGAAAAAAGAUUGCAAAUGUUGGAUUUGCCAAGAAGUUGGACAUUACAGUAAUGAAUGCCCAAACACAAAACAAAAUAAGGCCCAAGCCCGAGUCUUAGAACAAAUUAUGAGCUUAGAACAUCUAGCUCCAAUAGAAGACACACUUAGUGACCUAAGUGAUGACGAAAGCCUCUAUUUAUUAGAAUCAGACACAGAAGAAGAUUAUGAGCUGUCAGAUAGUGACUACUCAACAACUUCUGAUUCAGAGGAUCAAGAGUAAUCUUGACACUAUCGACCCAGGAUGGGACGAUAUAGAAUGGUGGGACUCCCUCCUACCAAUAGAUAAUAAUGACACUUGUCAUUUAGAGAAAGAACAAAUCGACGCAAUCAGUGCAACCGAUUUUGAUGACUUGUUAGAAGAACAAGACAUCACACCAAACUCGACUUUAUGUAAAGUUGAAAGAUUAGAUGAUGAGAUAUCUCACCUAGAAUGGAUUGAUUUAUCACUCCAUGAAAAAGAGAUCUCAGAUCUCAAUAAAGUUAGCCGCACUCAUGUAAAUUCAAUUUAUAUACGCGGAACAUUGUCCUUUAGUGGAUAUCGAAAGUAUAAUGUUGACUGUUAUGUUGACACUGGCGCUAGUAUGUGUUUAGCUAAUAAACACAUAAUUCCACCUAACUUUUGGGUAAAAGCAAAAGUCCCUAUCUAUGCUAAAUUAGCGGACGAUACAGUCCAAGAAUUUGAUAUAGUAGCAGAAAAGAUAGACAUCCUUAUCCAGGACAAGGUGUUUACUAUUCCAACAUUAUAUCAAACCACCAGUAGGUAUGAUAUCUUACUAGGCAACAACUUUUGUCGCCUUUAUGAACCAUUUGGACAAUGGGGUAGAAUUAUUGCCUUCCAUAAUGAUGGUCAGAUGGUAGUUUGUCCUAAACUAACCACCGCCUAUUACCAAGGUAAACCUGGAUUCUUAGAAUCUAAAGCCUAUGGGAGCAAAACCAAAGCCCCACUACCCGAAACUAUUGCUCAAAAUCUUGAUUUUGAUCAAAAAAAUCUGGGGGAGGAUACCCAUACUUCCGUCCCACAUGAUUUAAUGUGCAGUUUAAUGAAUUUGUCAACUAUAGAAACUAAACUUGAUGCAGUUUGUAGUGACAAUCCAUUAGACCUUAGAAUAUCUAAACAACAGUUUAGAGCCAGUAUUAGGUUAGCAAACCCUAGUACAAAAAUCAAAGUUGCACCCAUGCAAUAUACCAAAGAAGAUAGAGAUGAGUUCUCUAAACAAAUAAAAGAACUUCUAGAUGCUAAGUUAAUCCAACCUAGCAAGUCCCCUCACUUUAGCCCGGCGUUCUUAGUCAAUAAGCACUCCGAACAAAAAAGAGGAAAAAGACGAAUGGUCAUCAAUUAUAAAAAAUUGAAUGAUCACACUAUAGGAGAUGGUUAUCUUCUACCUAGAAAAGAUGAGCUGUUAGAUCAGAUCAGAGGAAAAAAGAUAUUUUCCUCCUUUGAUUGUAAAAGUGGAUUCUGGCAGGUAUUGUUAGAUGAAACGUCACAAUCAUUAACAGCAUUCACUUGUCCUCAAGGACAUUUUGAAUGGAAAGUCAUGCCUUUCGGCCUAAAGCAAGCCCCAUCCAUUUUUCAAAGGCAUAUGAAUGAGACCUUCAUGGGUCUUGAAAACUUUUGUCGUAUUUAUGUUGACGAUAUUAUCAUUUUCUCAGAAAACGACAAAGAACACAUCGAGCAUGUUUCACAAGUGCUUGACAGGUGUAAAGAGGUAGGAGUCAUCCUAUCUAAACCAAAAGCCCAACUUUUUAGGGAAAAAAUAGAAUUCCUUGGUCUAAUCAUAGAUAGAGGAAAGCUUCAGCUACAGAAGCAUAUAGGAGAAAAUAUUACUGCUUUCAACAGUAAAAUAACUGAUAGAAAACAGUUACAAAGAUUUUUAGGUAUAUUAAAUUAUAUCUCACAGUUUUGUCCUAAGGUUGCACAGAUACGACAACCUCUACAGGCAAAGUUAAAGAAGGAUGCUUUCUGGCAAUGGUCAGACAGUGAUACGGCUUAUGUUGACAAAAUCAAAAAAGCCAUAAAGAAUCUUCCACCGGUGCACCAUCCCGGUCCAGACGAGCCCCUAAUCAUUGAAACCGAUGCUUCGGACAAUUAUUGGGGAGGAAUCUUAAAAUCUAAACAAUCAGACGGCUUAGAAUUAAUAUGUGGCUAUGCCAGCGGUACCUUUAAACCAGCUGAAAAGAAUUACCACAGCAACGAAAAAGAAAUCUUGGCCCUUAUAAAUACCAUUAAAAGGUUUCAAGUAUUUCUCAUCCCAGUUCAGUUCACAGCACGAACUGAUAAUAAAAAUGUGUUUUAUUUCUUACACACAAACAUUCAUGGUUCUUAUAAACAAGGAAGACUGGUAAGAUGGCAACUCUGGUUGUCUUAUUUUGAUAUUAUAUUUGAGCAUGUUGCAGGAACUAAUAAUGUUUUUGCAGAUUUCUUGAGUAGAGAAUUCUCAGAAUGACUCAACAUCUCUUAGAUGAGAUCAAGGUCAUUGACCAAAAGAUUCAAAGAGCAGAAAAGCUCAUUGAAGAAAAGCAAAUGAAGAUUGAACGUCUUCAACGCAAAAAAGGUAAGUUGUCUGAACAACUUAAGUCCAAAACUCUUGGACCAGAGGGUCUCUUAGAGAGAUUCACACAAAGUAUGGCUGAUGCCAAGGAAAAGAGUCUCACUCCUUCACAGGAACCUGAGACCAUUGAGGAUCGCAAGGAUACCUCAUAUAAUAUAGGUUCUACCUCUGGUAGCCUAAAAGAGGAGGCAUGUCAGGCCACUUCUAAACAUUAUACCAUUUUUAAUGGUCCAAAUGCGGGUUGCUAUAAAGAUUGGGCAACUGUCCAAAAACUGGUUUCUGGAAAGCCAGUAGCCUUUAAAGGUUAUCCAAAUUAUGGUCUUGCAAGACAGGCCUUUAUAGAUUAUUGUAUGAAAAAUAAUAUCACCCUUCAUACAACCCCAACUUUAAUAUCCCCGACUGAUUUACUUCAGCCAAACAGAAUUCCCAGCUAUGCUGAGAAAGCAAAAAUGCCAGCAAACCCAGUACAGGAAAGAACCUUUGCUAGGUUUAAUAAGAUAUCUGUCAAAAAUCCAGAUGAACAUGAUUUCAUUCCCCUUGAAACAUUUACCCAUUAUUACAGACUUGCUGAAGUUUGUAACACAACAGAAGGCUGUUUUAUAAGCCAAAUAAAUAAUUCCAGAUACUACAAUGCUGGAGAAGGAGCAGAUCCAUCCUUAGUAUCCACUCUGUUUCAUUGUGGAUUAUUACAAAGUAUCUGUCCAAGUGCUAACUUGCAGGAAAUCAGUAAACUUCCUCAGGGAAUUUACACAGCAAUCAAGCAAUAUAGGACUAAAGUCCUAAAAGAACAGAAUAGGAGAGUUCUCCUCACCAUCCGCAGUUCAUACUUGGACUGGCACGAGACAGAAGAUGAGACUGAUUGUCUCAAGAACUAUCCUUCAUACCACUUCAUCAAAAUUGGUAUGUUAAAACAUAUGGACGUGACCCCUUGCACAUCCAUCAAAUCAGAAAUUACCAGCAACCUCAGCAUGGUACUUCCCAAACUCCGAGCACAAAGCUUAGGAAGAAUAAUUUCCAAACUCAGGAAAUAUUACAAAGACUCGUUAAUUCGGGUUAACUACCAAAGUGCACAUAGCAUCAUAAUAUCUGACAGCCUGUCAGUAAUCAGUGAUCAAGACUGUAGAAAGCUCCAGGAUUAUGAAGCUCAAUUCUAUGGAAAUGAUUUGGAGGUUUCCUACACCACCAAGAAGGCCUAUUGCAGUUAUGGGUCAAGAGAUCACAGGUGCACUCUGUGCAUUAACAAAGACGGUCCAUCUGAUCCGAUGGAAGAAGACGACAACUCCACCGACAAGGACAUGUGAGCUGUCAUAACAACGUGGACCCGACCACGAUAAAAAGGAACUAUCUACUGUACAUAGCAAUAGUGUGCCACCUUUUAGCUAUAAAUAUGUAUCACUUGAGCAUUAGCACUCAAGACUUAUCGAAACCCCUCUCAACCCUUUUAAACUUGUAAUCCAAAGUUCAAAUGCAAUAAAGAAAACCUUUUGGUUUUAUCUCUCUCAGUCUAGC
rnacentral:lncRNA from 1 species